AAAUUGAAGAGUUUGAUCAUGGCUCAGAUUGAACGCUGGCGGCAGGCCUAACACAUGCAAGUCGAACGGUAACAGGAAGCAGCUUGCUGCUUUGCUGACGAGUGGCGGACGGGUGAGUAAUGUCUGGGAAACUGCCUGAUGGAGGGGGAUAACUACUGGAAACGGUGGCUAAUACCGCAUGACGUCGCAAGACCAAAGAGGGGGACCUUCGGGCCUCUUGCCAUCAGAUGUGCCCAGAUGGGAUUAGCUUGUUGGUGGGGUAACGGCUCACCAAGGCGACGAUCCCUAGCUGGUCUGAGAGGAUGACCAGCCACACUGGAACUGAGACACGGUCCAGACUCCUACGGGAGGCAGCAGUGGGGAAUAUUGCACAAUGGGCGCAAGCCUGAUGCAGCCAUGCCGCGUGUAUGAAGAAGGCCUUCGGGUUGUAAAGUACUUUCAGCGGGGAGGAAGGUGUUG
rnacentral:rRNA from 1 species